rnacentral:rRNA from 1 species
GAUGAACGCUGGCGGCGUGCCUAAUACAUGCAAGUCGAGCGAACGGACGAGAAGCUUGCUUUUCUGAUGUUAGCGGCGGACGGGUGAGUAACACGUGGAUAACCUACCUAUAAGACUGGGAUAACUUCGGGAAACCGGAGCUAAUACCGGAUAAUAUUUUGAACCGCAUGGUUCAAAAGUGAAAGACGGUCUUGCUGUCACUUAUAGAUGGAUCCGCGCUGCAUUAGCUAGUUGGUAAGGUAACGGCUUACCAAGGCAACGAUGCAUAGCCGACCUGAGAGGGUGAUCGGCCACACUGGAACUGAGACACGGUCCAGACUCCUACGGGAGGCAGCAGUAGGGAAUCUUCCGCAAUGGGCGAAAGCCUGACGGAGCAACGCCGCGUGAGUGAUGAAGGCCUUCGGAUCGUAAAACUCUGUUAUUAGGGAAGAACAUAUGCGUAAGUAACUGUGCACAUCUUGACGGUACCUAAUCAGAAAGCCACGGCUAACUACGUGCCAGCAGCCGCGGUAAUACGUAGGUGGCAAGCGUUAUCCGGAAUUAUUGGGCGUAAAGCGCGCGUAGGCGGUUUUUUAGUCUGAUGUGAAAGCCCACGGCUCAACCGUGGAGGGUCAUUGGAAACUGGAAAACUUGAGUGCAGAAGAGGAAAGUGGAAUUCCAUGUGUAGCGGUGAAAUGCGCAGAGAUAUGGAGGAACACCAGUGGCGAAGGCGACUUUCUGGUCUGUAACUGACGCUGAUGUGCGAAAGCGUGGGGAUCAAACAGGAUUAGAUACCCUGGUAGUCCACGCCGUAAACGAUGAGUGCUAAGUGUUAGGGGGUUUCCGCCCCUUAGUGCUGCAGCUAACGCAUUAAGCACUCCGCCUGGGGAGUACGACCGCAAGGUUGAAACUCAAAGGAAUUGACGGGGACCCGCACAAGCGGUGGAGCAUGUGGUUUAAUUCGAAGCAACGCGAAGAACCUUACCAAAUCUUGACAUCCUUUGACAACUCUAGAGAUAGAGCCUUCCCCUUCGGGGGACAAAGUGACAGGUGGUGCAUGGUUGUCGUCAGCUCGUGUCGUGAGAUGUUGGGUUAAGUCCCGCAACGAGCGCAACCCUUAAGCUUAGUUGCCAUCAUUAAGUUGGGCACUCUAAGUUGACUGCCGGUGACAAACCGGAGGAAGGUGGGGAUGACGUCAAAUCAUCAUGCCCCUUAUGAUUUGGGCUACACACGUGCUACAAUGGACAAUACAAAGGGCAGCGAAACCGCGAGGUCAAGCAAAUCCCAUAAAGUUGUUCUCAGUUCGGAUUGUAGUCUGCAACUCGACUACAUGAAGCUGGAAUCGCUAGUAAUCGUAGAUCAGCAUGCUACGGUGAAUACGUUCCCGGGUCU